rnacentral:rRNA from 1 species
GGCGAACGGGUGAGUAACACGUGGGUAAUCUGCCCUGCACUCUGGGAUAAGCCUGGGAAACUGGGUCUAAUACUGGAUAUGACCUUUCUCCUUAUGGGGUUUGGUGGAAAGUUUUUCGGUGUAGGAUGAGCCCGCGGCCUAUCAGCUUGUUGGUGGGGUGAUGGCCUACCAAGGCGACGACGGGUAGCCGGCCUGAGAGGGUGAUCGGCCACAUUGGGACUGAGACACGGCCCAG